rnacentral:rRNA from 1 species
UACGGGGGGGGCAAGCGUUGUUCGGAAUUACUGGGCGUAAAGGGCUCGUAGGCGGCCAACUAAGUCAGACGUGAAAUCCCUCGGCUUAACCGGGGAACUGCGUCCGAUACUGGAUGGCUUGAGUUUGGGAGAGGGAUGCGGAAUUCCAGGUGUAGCGGUGAAAUGCGUAGAUAUCUGGAGGAACACCGGUGGCGAAGGCGGCAUCCUGGACCAACACUGACGCUGAGUGAGCGAAAGCCAGGGGAGCAAACGGG